ensembl:lncRNA novel transcript
ACACUUGUUUGUGUUUUGGGGAGAGAAAGGAAGUGGAGAACGUUCUUGCAAGAUGAUCUGUAUUUUCUCUCUAAAGCAGAGUUCAUUUGCUGAGAAUGAUGGAGAAAAUCAGCAUCUAGCUAAUCAGCUGACCAUGAGAUGCAGAGAUUAUCUGGAAUUAUCCAGAUUGGUCCAUUUAAUUACAUGAGUCCUUAAAAGUGGAAAGUGGAAGAAGAGGCAGAAGAGUGUGUCAGAGAGAUGCUGUGUGAAAAGGACUCAACCUGCCACUUGAGGCUUUGAGGCUGGAGAAAGGGGCCAUGAACCAAGGAUUGUGAGCAGCCUGUAAAAUCUGGAAAAGACAAGGCAAUACCCUUUGCUGUCUCAGGGUCAAACAUGCAACUCCUGCCUGCUUGUAUGGCCAGCUGGGUUCAAGAAGGAAGGAACCUCAUUGUUGACAGUUACCAGAUGAAUGUGCCCCUUCUGUACAGCUAAGAAAUGGAAUAGACAUUGGUAACCUUCCACAGGCCCACACAUGUGUUAUCAGCCAUACCUUAGGACAGAAGGAAUGAGUUUGCAGAAAGGAUGCUCUUCAGAACUCAUGAAGACAUAAGGUGCUUCAAAAGAGGAGACUUUCGGAACAUGAGCAGGGAAAUUGUCACUUGAUAGAUGACAAGCAUUGUGAGAAACAACAGUUUGCCUUUCUUCAUUCCCUUCCUGGUUAUCUUUCCUGUCACAUGAAGAAGAAAUGAAACACCAGAGAGAAUCAGGUUAUCAUCAUCUACACCAGCCACUGUCACUGACAACUCCAGGAAGGAAAUUGGUAGACUCAACGUCCAGGGAACCUACGAAUCUGCUAUCCCAAGCCUUCUGCCCCCAAACACUUCACCCUGAAAUACAGCCCAGAGCAUGCACUCAGUGAGUCCCACUGAAGAAGAGACGGAAGGCAGAACUGAACAAGAUGUGUCCAGAAGAGGUAGCCAUAGAUCAUGGACAUGACCAAAAGAAGCUUACUUUAUUUUCAACCCUACAACCAUACUGAGAAUUUAGCCCUGGGGACAUCUUCCGAUAUAAUCUGGCAUAGAAGAGUGGUUAUCACACCUUUAGCAUGGGACCCUUGAGACACCUUUGCUGUGAAUAAUGGAGAAGCAAAAGGAGUUACUAAUGAAGACAAACUAAACCUGAGAACAGAGAGAGCCUAACUAUGUGCUCCAGAAGUGCCAUGUGUGUCUAAGAUGAAGUUUCGCUCUUCUUGCCCAGGCUGGAGUGCAAUGGCACAAUCUCAGCUCACUGCAACCUCUGCCUCCUGGGUUCAAGCGAUUCUCCUGCCUCAGCCCCCUGAGUAGCUGGGAUUACAGGUUCCUAUAAAGUUCCUGAUAGUUGAAGAAAGUCAGGAGAUCUUAGAAACUGACUUUCAUUUAUAACCUGCUGAUUCACCUAGAUCAGGUUACUGGGAAGAAAUCCAAGUCAGACCUCCUGACCUACUCGAAACAGCAUGAGGGAAAGAAGACUGGAGAGACGUUCAAAAAAAUUUUAACAGAGGUUGUGUUUGAAGACAAAUGUUGUGGAUGCUUUACUGUUUGCUUUUAUGUGACCAAAUAGAAAGACUUCAAGAGGCAGUUAGCAGGAUGAGGAGCUACUCCACCAUGUACCAUCAACAGCAACUUGGAAAAAAAAUGCCCGCACCAACAGGAAAAUGGAGCUGCAGGAGCUGAAUGAUGGUUUCAUACACAUCGACAAGGUGCACUUCUUGGUCCAAAAGAACAAGAUACUGCUGAUAAAGUGAAGCAGCUCCAGAAACAGGGAAAGUCAACCUGGGGAACUUCUACAAGGAGGAGAUGCAACAGCUGCAUCAGCAAGUGGACCAGGUAACCAACAAGGCCAGUAUCAAGGCUCAGCAUGACAUCCUAGCCAAGGACAUCAGGACAAUUUGCAGAAAGAGAUGCUUCAGAGAGAGGAAGCUGAGAGCACCCUUAGAAAUCCUGCAAACUUGCAGACUGCAUGUUGACAAUGCUUCUUUGACACUCCAUGACUUCUGGCAAUCUCUUCCUUGCAAGAAGAGAUUGCCUUUUUGAAGGAACUGCGCAGGAAUGAAACCUGGGAGCUGCAGGUCCAGAUUCAGGAAGAGCCAUACAAAUUGAUGAUAUUUCCAAGACUGACCUCAUGGCUGCACUGCGUGAUGUGUGUUAGCAGUAUGAAAGUGUAGUUACUAAGAACCUUCGGGAACCAGGCCAGGUUUGUUGAUCUCUCUGAGGCUAUUAACUGAACCUGGACAGUGAUGCCCUGCAUUAGGCAAAGCAGGAGUCAAAAGAGGAGGCAAAGACAGGUCCAGUCCCUCACUGGCCAAGCACUCAAAGGAACUGAGAAUUCUCUGCAGUGCCAGAUGUGUGAAAUAGAUGAGAACUUUGCUGUGAACUAUCAAGACACUAUUGGCCUCAUGCAGGAUGAGAUUCAGAAUGGGAAGGAAGAAAUAAUUAAGGCCUGCCACCUUAAUCAAUGUCAGGACCUGUGGGAUGCUCACAGAGCCCUUGACUUUGAGAUUGCCACCUACAGAAUGCUGCUGGAAGGUGAGGAGAGCAGGAUUUCUCUGUCUCUUCCAAACUUUUACUCUCAGAACUGGAGGGAAACCAUUCUGUGUUCACUCCCUCUGGUUGACAGCCACUCAUACAGGACCCUUCUGACAUUUAAAACUGGGAGAUGGACAGGUUAUCAAUGAACCUUCUCAGCCUCAUGAUUAGCUUGAUGAAAAAUUGCACAUACUCGCUGCAGCAAUAUAUCACCAUCAAGAAUAAAAAGGAAGACUACAUCUUAAAGAAACAGCCUUCAAAUGCCCCUCUACAGCUUUUCAGUAGCAUAAGAUAAAUUUGGAAUAGAAAUAAGCUACAGUUCUUAAGAACUAACACUCCUAAAAGAUUUAGAACAAAAGUUUAAAACAUAGUCUGGUUUAUGAAGAAGUUUUGUGCUACACCGGUUUUGUAAAAAUAUUUUGAAAAUCGUUAUAACUGUUUUUUUGUUCCAGCAAGUAUUGGACUAACUUGUUUCUACUUCAAUAAACCUUUGGAAAAACCAACCAGCAAACAACAACGAUUUUAAAAAUGCUUCUUGGGAUGAGUUGAAGAGAGAAUGGAAGAAACACUGAAAGGAAAUGUGAUACCAUGGAAAGUACACUGAACUGGGAAAUAGAAAGUAUGAGUUUUCAAUCCACCACCGAGCCCCUAUGUUACCUUAGCUGGGAUAUCUACCUUCUCCUGCCCUCAGACAUCAGAACUCUUGUUUCUCAGGCCUUCUGGCUCAGACUGAAUUACACAAGCUUUCCUGGAUCUCUGGCUUGCAGAUGACAUACCAUGGGACUUCACUGGCCUUCAUAUCUUUUCAGGUAUGUCUUUAUCCGCAGCAUGAAAAUGGACUAAUACAGUAAAUUUGUACCAGUAGAGUGGGCAUUGGUGAAAAGAUACUUGAAAAUGUGGAAACGACUUUGGAACUGGGUAACAGGCAGAGAUUGGAACAGUUUGGAGGGCUCAGAAGAAGACAGGAAAAUUUGGGAAAGUCUGGAACUCCCUAGAGGCUUGUUAAAUUGCUUUGCCCAAAAUCCUGAUAGCAAUAUGGACAAUAAGGUCUAGGCUGAGGUUGUCUCAGAUGGAGAUGAGGAACUUGUGGCGAACUGGAGUAAAGAUGACUCUUGUUACGUUUUAGCAAAGAGAUUGGCAGCUUUUUGCCCUUGCCCUAGAGAUUUGUGGAACUUUGAACUUGAGAAAGAUGAUUUAGGGUAUCUGGCAGAAGACAUUUCUAAGCAACAAAAUAUUCAAGAGGUGACUUGGGUUCUGUUAAAGGAAUUAAGUUUUAUAAGGGAAGCAGAGCAUAUUGGGAAAAUUUGCAGCCUUACUAUGUGAUAGAAGAGAAAAACCCAUUUUCUGGGGAGAAAUUCAAGCUGGUUGCAGAAAUUUGCAUAAGUAGCAAGAAGCCUAAUGUUAAUCCCCAAGAGCAUGGGGAAAAUGUCUCCAGGCCAUGUCAGAGAACAUCACAGCAGCCCCUCCCAUCACAGGUCCUGAAGCCCAGGAGGAAAAAGCGGUUUUGUGGGCCUGGCCUAGGGUCCCCGUGCUAUGUGCAGCUUAGGGACUUGGUGCCCUGUGUCCCAGCCACUCUGGCCAUGGCUGAAAGGGGACAACCUACAGCCUGGGCUAUAGCUUCAGAGGGUGAAAGCCCCAAACCUUGGCAGCUUCCAUGUGGUGUUGAGCCUGCAGGUGCACAGAAGUCAAGAACUGAGGUUUGGGAUGCUCUCCUAGAUUUCGGAAGAUGUAUGGAAACACCUGGGUGCCCAGGCAGAAAUUUGCUGCAGGGGUGGGGCCCUCAUGGAGAACCUCUUCUAGGGCAGUACAGAAGGAAAUGUGAGGUCGGAGCCCCCACACAGAGUCCCUACUGGGGCACUGCCUAGUGGAGCUGUGAGAAGAGGGACACAGUCCUCCAAACCACAGAAUGGUAGAAUCACCUACAGCUUGCACUGUGUGCCUGGAAAAGCAGAAGACAAUCCCAGCCUGUGAAAGCAGCCAGGAAGGGGGCUGUACCCUGCAAAGCCACAGGGGCAGAGAUGAUGGGAACCCACCACUUGCAUCAGCAUGACCUGGAUGUGAGACCUGAAGUCGAAGGAGAUCAUUUUGAAGCUUUAAAAUUGGACUGCCCCUCUGGAUUUCGGACUUACAUGGGGCCUGUAGCCCCUUUGUUUUGGCCAAUUUCUCCCACUUGGAAUGGCUGUAUUUACUCAAUACCUGUACCCCCAUUGUAUCUAGGAAGUAAUUAACUUGCUUUUGAUUUUACAGGCUCAUAGGUGGAAGGGACUUGUCUUGUCUCAGAUGAGACUUUGGACUGUGGACUUUUGGGUUAAUGCUGAAAUGAGUUAAGACUUUGGGUACUGUUGUGAAGGCAUGAUUGGUUUUGGAAUAUGAAAACAUGAGAUUUGGAGGGGAUGGGGUGGAAUGAUAUGGUGUGGCUAUGUCCCCACCCAAAUCUCUACUGGAAUUGUAUCUUCCAGAAUUCCCACAUGUUGUAGGAGGGACCCAGGGGGAGUAAUUGAAUCAUGGAGGCUGGUCUUUCCCAUGGUAUUCUCGUGAUAGUGAAUAAGUCUCACGAGAUCUGAUGAGUUUAUCAGGGGUUUCUGCUUUUUCUUCUUGCUCCUCAUUUUCUCUUGCUGCUGCCAUGUAAGAAGUGCCUUUUGCUUCCCAUCAUGAUUCUGAGGCCUCCCCAGCCAUGUGAAACUGGAAGUCCAGUUAAGCAUGUUUUUCUUCCCAGUUUCGGGUAUGUCUUUAUAAGCGGCAUGAAAAUGGACUAAUACAACUUCUAACAUUAUAGUUUACUUUUGUCUGUUUUUGAACCUUAUAUAAAUAAA